AAAAUCGAACUCCCGGGCUUAUCUAACCUGUUGAUAAGCAUGUUGUUAAACGUUUGCGUCAGCGGACGGUUAUUUCUGCAAAAAAAAACGUUUUUCUGACCGGUUAUGGGGCAUCGGGGCAGGAAAUAACGGUUGAAAAGGGUGCUGACGCAACCGAUGUUGCGCGCUGUUGCGCAACAAAGAGGGGAUUCUAACAAGGCUGCACGGAUAAAACGAGAUUUUUACCCACGCGUGUGGGAAAAUGCUUAACCCCUACUAAAAUUGUGCCUAAGGAGUUGUGAUGAGUACCGAUCUGAAACUGUCAUUGAUGACCACGGCGGCUGCACUGUUGAUGAUUAUUGCGUUCAGCUUUACCGCCAUUCUGAACUAAUAA
rnacentral:sRNA from 1 species